rnacentral:tRNA from 1 species
UCUGUUGUUGUUUAGUCCAGUUAGGAUACUUGGUUUUCACCCAGGCGACCCGGGUUCAAAUCCCCACAACGAAA